rnacentral:rRNA from 1 species
GAUGAACGCUGGCGGCGUGCCUAACACAUGCAAGUCGAGCGGAAAGGCGAUGAGCUUGUGCCGUGGUCGAGAGGCGAGGGGGUGAGUAACACGUGAGUAACCUGUACUUAACUGUGUGAUAACUUCACGAAACUCGGGCGCAUAUAGGAUAUAAUCUACUGAUCCGCAGGGGUGAUUGGUAAAUUACGGCGGUUGGGUAUGGACUCGAGGCUUAUCAGCUUGUUGGUGGGGUAGUGGCUGACCAAGGCUUUGACGGGUAGCCGGCCUGAGAGGGUGACCGGCCACAUUGGGACUGAGAGACGGCCCAGACUCCUACGGGAGGCAGCAGUGGGGAAUAUUGCACAAUGGGCGGAAGCCUGAUGCAGCAACGCCGCGUGCGGGAUGACGGCCUUCGGGUUGUAAACCGCUUUCGCCUGUGACGAAGCGUGAGUGACGGUAAUGGGUAAAGAAGCACCGGCUAACUACGUG